GGGUUAGAUCUUGAAAAAGAGGGUUAGAUCUUAAAACUUUUUCAAGAUCAUACAGCGGAAGACUAAAAUAAAUCAAAAUUUAUUUUUUAAGAUAAAAAAAUCUCUAGAUCUAAGAUCCUAUUACAUGAUUAUUACAUGGCAUUAAAUCAGAAAUUAAAAUAUAUAAAUAUAGCAUGAACUACAUGUUGAUCAUAUCAACAUGUUUCUAUACUACAUCUAAUGUAUGUAUUAAACAAUAGAUCAGAUCUAUUACCUUGCAAGUUAGAUGCUCUAACCUUGCUGAUCCGGGCUUAAGGAUGAUGUUGCAAGCCGCACACGCGUCCGGCCUCUAGG
rnacentral:lncRNA from 1 species